UACGUAGGGCGCGAGCGUUAUCCGGAAUUAUUGGGCGUAAAGAGCUCGUAGGCGGUUUGUCACGUCUGCUGUGGAAACUGGAGGCUCAACCUCCAGCCUGCAGUGGGUACGGGCAGACUAGAGUGCGGUAGGGGAGAUUGGAAUUCCUGGUGUAGCGGUGGAGUGCGCAGAUAUCAGGAGGAACACCAAUGGCGAAGGCAGAUCUCUGGGCCGUAACUGACGCUGGGGAGCGAAAGCGUGGGGAGCGAACAGG
rnacentral:rRNA from 1 species